CCUACGGGAGGCAGCAGUGGGGAAUUUUGGACAAUGGGCGAAAGCCUGAUCCAGCCAUUCCGCGUGCAGGACGAAGGCCUUCGGGUUGUAAACUGCUUUUGUACGGAACGAAAAAGCCUUGGCCAAUACCCAAGGUCCAUGACGGUACCGUAAGAAUAAGCACCGGCUAACUACGUGCCAGCAGCCGCGGUAAUACGUAGGGUGCGAGCGUUAAUCGGAAUUACUGGGCGUAAAGCGUGCGCAGGCGGUUAUAUAAGACAGAUGUGAAAUCCCCGGGCUCAACCUGGGAACUGCAUUUGUGACUGUAUAGCUGGAGUGCGGCAGAGGGGGAUGGAAUUCCGCGUGUACG
rnacentral:rRNA from 1 species